rnacentral:rRNA from 1 species
CCUACGGGAGGCAGCAGUGGGGAAUAUUGGGCAAUGGGCGCAAGCCUGACCCAGCAACGCCGCGUGAAGGAAGAAGGCUUUCGGGUUGUAAACUUCUUUUGUUAGGGACGAAGCAAGUGACGGUACCUGACGAAUAAGCCACGGCUAACUACGUGCCAGCAGCCGCGGUAAUACGUAGGGGGCAAGCGUUAUCCGGAUUUACUGGGUGUAAGGGGCGUGUAGGCGGGACUGCAAGUCAGAUGUGAACACCACUGGCUCAACCAGUGGCCUGCAUUUGAAACUGUAGUUCUUGAGUACUGGAGAGGCAGACGGAAUUCCUGGUGUAGCGGUGAAAUGCGUAGAGAUUAGGAGGAACACCAAUUGCGAAGGCGGUCUGCUGGACAGCAACUGACGCUGAGGCGCGAAAGCGUGGGGAGCAAACAGGAUUAGAUACCCCAGUAGUC